GACAAACGCUGGCGGCGUGCCUAACACAUGCAAGUCGAACGGGGUAAAGAGCUUCGGUUUUUACUUAGUGGCGAACGGGUGAGUAACGCGUGAGGAACCUGCCUUUCAGUGGGGGACAACAGUUGGAAACGACUGCUAAUACCGCAUAAUGCAUUUAGGGGGCAUCCCCUGAAUGCCAAAGCUUUAUGUGCCGCAUGGCGCCGUGUGAAAAACUCCGGUGGUAUGAGAUGGACCCGCGUCUGAUUAGCUGGUUGGUGAGGUAACGGCCCACCAAGGCGACGAUCAGUAGCCGACCUGAGAGGGUGACCGGCCACAUUGGGACUGAGACACGGCCCAA
rnacentral:rRNA from 1 species